rnacentral:lncRNA from 1 species
CUGGCGGCCCGGCGGGUUCCACGCAGGCUGGGGGCGGAGGGCCAGAUCGACCCCAGCCGGGGCGGCCGAGCAGGGUCCACGGGGGUCGGGGAUGGGCGGCCAGGCGGGGUCGGAGGGACGAAAGCCGGGGUGAACCUGCGCCGCGGGCCAAGCGCGACCCCCUCCCUUCCCGACCUGUGCGGAGAGGAGAGAAAUGAAGGGGGGCGCCCAAGGAGCCCUGGCCCCGGGAGUGGGAGUCAGCGGGUGGGAACAGAUCGCCCUUCCUUUCCGCUGGGAAUUGGGGGACUCCCCCUGCUUUCACUCUCCCAGCCCGCCAUGGGGUUGGGCCUUGUCCUUUGCCUUGGGUUUGAAGGCGGAGACAAAAAAGGCUGUCCAAAAUCCAGCCAGCUUGGGAGGCAUGGUUGAUGCGAGUUAGCAAAGAUUCUCGACUGUGGUUGGCAAGGCCCCCAGUGGCCAAGGCAUGAGCCUGGAUGCCCUGCAAAUUGAGUACGUGUUAGGGAUGGGGGCCAUUCUUUAUAGUUUGACUCUGGAGAGCUAGGACCACCUUUCCCAGCCUCAGGGGUGCACAUCCUCAGGAGCUGCCUACCUCCAGAUAUUGUAAGUCCAUGCAGAAGAGGAAGGGCCCAGCUGGGGCACCUCUUGGUUGAGGAAUGAGUAUGUGACAUUUUCAUGUGGGCACAUUUUGAUACUACUUUAAAAAUAGACCAAGCACAGUGGCUCACACCUGUAAUUCCAGCACUUCGGGACGCUGAGAGAGGUGGAUCACCUGAGGUCAGGAGUUCGAGAUCAGCCUGGCCAACAUGGAGAAACCCCGCCUCUACUAAAAAUACAAAACAUUAGCUGGGUGUGGUGGCACACACCUGUAAUUCCAGCUACUCGGGAGGCAGAAGCAGGAGAAUCGCUUGAAUCCAGGAGGCGGAGGUUGCAGUAAGCCGAGAUCACGCCACUACACUCCAGCUUACACUGGACAUGAUGAGGAGGAGGAGGAUGAUGGUGGUGAUUAUGAUAGAAAUGGUGAUGGUGAUGAUGACAAUGGUGAUAGUAGGGAUGGUCUUGCUCUGUCGCAAUCAAUAAAUGAAUGCAUAAACACAUUUCUACUUGUUUUUGCAGUCCUAAGAUAAGUGCUCAGUAGCAUCCCUGCCCUUCUAAUGUGAACUUGAGGGAUGGGUAAGACCCAGAGAUGGCAUGGGGGACGGGAUAAGGAAGGCCUACUGUUCAUAUUGUGAACAUGAAAUGGUUUUACAUUUUGAUGCCACUUCAUUAAAUUGACUGUAUGAUAUGAGCUAACGCUACACCC